rnacentral:piRNA from 1 species
UGCUUUGCUUUUAUCUGACAUCUGCCUUA